rnacentral:rRNA from 1 species
UACGGGGGGGGCAAGCGUUGUUCGGAAUUACUGGGCGUAAAGGGCUCGUAGGCGGCCAACUAAGUCAUACGUGAAAUCCCUCGGCUUAACCGGGGAACUGCGUCUGAUACUGGAUGGCUUGAGUUCGGGAGAGGGAUGCGGAAUUCCAGGUGUAGCGGUGAAAUGCGUAGAUAUCUGGAGGAAUACCGGUGGCGAAGGCGGCAUCCUGGACCAUAACUGACGCUGAGGCGCGAAAGCUAGGGGAGCAAACGGG